UACGAAGGGUGCAAGCGUUACUCGGAAUUACUGGGCGUAAAGCGUGCGUAGGUGGUUUGUUAAGUCUGAUGUGAAAGCCCUGGGCUCAACCUGGGAAUUGCAUUGGAUACUGGCAGGCUAGAGUGCGGUAGAGGGUAGUGGAAUUCCCGGUGUAGCAGUGAAAUGCGUAGAGAUCGGGAGGAACAUCUGUGGCGAAGGCGACUACCUGGACCAGCACUGACACUGAGGCACGAAAGCGUGGGGAGCAAACAGG
rnacentral:rRNA from 1 species